rnacentral:rRNA from 1 species
AUUGAACGCUGGCGGCAUGCUUUACACAUGCCAGUCGAACGGCAGCGGGGUAGUGCUUGCACUACUGCCGGCGAGUGGCGCACGGGUGAGUAAUAUAUCGGAACGUACCGAGUAAUGGGGGAUAACCAAUCGAAAGAUUGGCUAAUACCGCAUACGUCCUGAGGGAGAAAGCGGGGGAUCGCAAGACCUCGCGUUAUUCGAGCGGCCGAUAACUGAUUAGCUAGUUGGUGGGGUAAAGGCCUACCAAGGCGACGAUCAGUAGCGGGUCUGAGAGGACGAUCCGCCACACUGGGACUGAGACACGGCCCAGACUCCUACGGGAGGCAGCAGUGGGGAAUUUUGGACAAUGGGGGCAACCCUGAUCCAGCCAUGCCGCGUGUAUGAAGAAGGCCUUCGGGUUGUAAAGUACUUUUGUUAGGGAAGAAAAGGGAAGUGCUAAUACCACUUUUUGCUGACGGUACCUAAAGAAUAAGCACCGGCUAACUACGUG